rnacentral:rRNA from 1 species
CGAGAAGCUUCUUUCGGGAAGUGGAGAGUGGCGCACGGGUGAGUAACGCGUGGGGAUCUACCCUUUGGUACGGGAUAACGUUUGGAAACGAACGCUAAUACCGUAUGUGGUCUACGGACUAAAGAUUUAUCGCCAAAGGAUGAACCCGCGUAAGAUUAGAUAGUUGGUGGGGUAAUGGCCUACCAAGUCUACGAUCUUUAGCUGGUCUGAGAGGACGAUCAGCCACACUGGAACUGAGACACGGUCCAGACUCCUACGGGAGGCAGCAGUGGGGAAUAUUGGACAAUGGGCGCAAGCCUGAUCCAGCCAUGCCGCGUGAGUGAAGAAGGCCUUAGGGUUGUAAAGCUCUUUCGCUAGGGAAGAUAAUGACGGUACCUAGUAAAGAAGUCCCGGCUAACUCCGUGCCAGCAGCCGCGGUAAUACGGAGGGGACUAGCGUUGUUCGGAAUUACUGGGCGUAAAGAGUACGUAGGCGGCUUAUCAAGUUGGGUGUGAAAGCCCGGGGCUCAACCCCGGAACUGCAUUCAAAACUGGUAAGCUAGAGAUCGGAAGAGGUAAGUGGAAUUCCCAGUGUAGAGGUGAAAUUCGUAGAUAUUGGGAAGAACACCAGUGGCGAA